rnacentral:rRNA from 1 species
GAUGAACGCUGGCGGCGUGCCUAAUACAUGCAAGUCGAGCGAACAGACGAGGAGCUUUCUCCUCUGACGUUAGCGGCGGACGGGUGAGUAACACGUGGAUAACCUACCUAUAAGACUGGGAUAACUUCGGGAAACCGGAGCUAAUACCGGAUAACAUGUUGAACCGCAUGGUUCUACAGUGAAAGACGGUCUUGCUGUCACUUAUAGAUGGAUCCGCGUCGCAUUAGCUAGUUGGUAAGGUAACGGCUUACCAAGGCAACGAUGCGUAGCCGACCUGAGAGGGUGAUCGGCCACACUGGAACUGAGACACGGUCCAGACUCCUACGGGAGGCAGCAGUAGGGAAUCUUCCGCAAUGGGCGAAAGCCUGACGGAGCAACGCCGCGUGAGUGAAGAAGGUCUUCGGAUCGUAAAACUCUGUUAUUAGGGAAGAACAAAUGUGUAAGUAACUAUGCACGUCUUGACGGUACCUAAUCAGAAAGCCACGGCUAACUACGUG